rnacentral:lncRNA from 1 species
GAUACCAUUCCCAAAGUUAAGAACAUGUGUCUUAGGCCAUGUGCAGUGGUUCACACCUGUAAUCCCAGCACUUUGAGAGGCCGAAGAGGGCAGAUCACCUGAGGUCAGGAGUUCGAGACCAGCCUGGCCAACAUGGUGAAACCCUGUCUCUACAAAAAAAUUAGCCAGGUGUCAUGGCACAUGCUUGUAAUUCCAGCUGCUUGGGAGGCUGAGGCAGGAGAAUCGCUUGAACCCAGGAGGCAGAGGUUGCGGUCAGCCGAGAUCGUGCCAUUGCACUCCAGCCUGGGCAACAAAAGUGAAACUCCGUCUCAAAAAACAAAAAAAAAGAAAGGAAAAAGAAUAUAUGAAUAUAUGUCUCAGGCCAGAUGCAGUGGAUCAUACCUGUAAUCUCAGCACUUUGGGAGGCUGAGGCAGGCGGAUCACUUGAGGAAAGAACAAGACCACAGUGAGGUGGAUGGAUGGAUAUACAGAUAGAUAGAGCACAUGAGAGUGAGCGACAGGAGAUGUGGGAGGGGGUAGCAAAUGUAGUAAAAUGGUAA